UCCAUAUCACGUUGAAACACCGGUUUCGUUGAUCAUCGAAGUUAAACAACGUCGAGCCUGGUCCGUAUUUAGAUGGGUGAACACUUGGGAAUGCUAGGUGAUGUAAG